GCCAGUGUAGUGUAGUGGUUUGAGCACUGGGUUGUGACUCUGGAGACCAGGGUUUGAGUCCCUGCUCAGCCU
rnacentral:tRNA from 1 species